CCCACUUUGGGUGGGUUUUUGGGCAAUUCAUCCCAAAAUUCUCAUUUUGGAUGGGAUUUUUGGGGAAUCCAUCCCAAAAUUCUCCUUUCUGGGGGGAAUUUUGGGGACAAAUGGGGGAAAUCGGGGGCGGGGAAGGGAUCGCUGCGGAAUUCCAAUGGGAACCCGGCAGGGAGCGGAUUUAACCCGGAAAUACUCCGGGGAUACUCCGAGCCUCAUUCCCAGCCUCCUGCCCCGUUCUCCAGGGAUACUCCGGGGUUAUCCCAGGGAUACUCCAGGGAUACUCUGGGGUUACUCCAGGCUGGAAUUCCAGCCCCAAACUCCUACUCAGGGGUUACACAAGGCACAAAUUCCACUCUCCAGCCCUGUACUCCGAGGAUACUCCAGGGAUAUUCCAGGGAUACUCUGGGGUUAUUCAGGGCCUACUCCAAGGAUACUCCAAGGUUAUCCCAGGGAUAUUCCAGGGAUACUCCGGGGUUAUUCAGGGCAUACUCUGAGGAUACUCCAGGGAUACUCCGGGGUUAUCCCAGGGAUACUCCAGGGAUACUCCAAGGUUAUCCCAGGGAUACUCCGGGGUUACUCCAGGCUCAGCCUGCGCUCUCCAGCUCUUACUCCGAGGAUACUCCAGGACUCAGCUCCAGCUGUGCCUCAGUUUCCCCAGAAUUCCCAAAAAAAAACCACCCAAAAGGCCCCGGGAUCGAGAGUUCCCAAAAAUCCCGGAAUUUCAAAAAAAAAAGAACCCUGGAAUUCUCAGAAGGAACUCUCGGAAUUCCCAAAAAAAAAGCCCAAAAGUCCCCGGGAUCGGGAAUUCCCAAAACUCCCGGAAUUCCUGGAAUGCUCAAAAUUCCCAAAGGAAGUCUCGGGAUGGCCAAAAUUCCUGGAAUUUGUUCCCAGAAUAAACUCCCGGAAUUCCCAAAACAACAACGAAAAAGCCUCAAAAGGCCCUGGGAUUGGGAAUUCCCAAAAACCCCAGAAUUCCCAGAAUUCCUGGAAUGACCAAAAUUCCAAAGAAGACCCUGUGACUGCCAAAAUUCCUGGAAUUGCCAAAACUCCUGGAAUUCAUGGAAGAAACUCCCAGAAUUCCCCAAAAGGCCCUGGGAUCAGGAAUUCCCCCCCCAAAAAAUCCUGGAAUUCUCC
rnacentral:lncRNA from 1 species